AAAAAGACAAACUCUAAUUUCCAUGUCAAUAUUUAACCAUUCAUCUUAUUUGAAAAAAUUAUAAAAAAAAUUAAAAAGACAAGUCACGCAUAAAAUAUUAAUUAUGUUUUAUCAUCUAAUAACAAUAAAAAUACGAAUUAUAAACAAAUUUCAUAUAAAACGGACAGUUAAAAUUGGACACGGAAACCUAGGGUUUGUCUUUUU
rfam:Oryza sativa (indica cultivar-group) chromosome 3, whole genome shotgun sequence.